rnacentral:lncRNA from 1 species
GAGAUGAAACACUGUUGGGGUUGAAAUAAAAUAAAAUUGAGAUCGAUAGACACAGGCUGUUUCUACAGUGCCAUGCAAGAGGGAAGACAGGAUCUAUACUUUUGCCACUAGACUCCUUCACACAGUGGUGAGGAUGGGAAGCUUCCGAGACCAGAUACAUUUGUUGUUAAUAUUACCAACAACAGAUAGAGUCAGUUUAGAAGAUUUGUUACCAAAGAAACAGAGGGAAUUCUGUGUGACCUGUCCUUUCUAGCUCAUUAAGAAAAACUGCAAUAAUUCCUUGGCCAUGCAUAAUAUAUGAUUAAAGUGCAGUGGUUAAAUAUCCCUAUUAUACUUUUGACAUACUGUGUAGGUUUUUGUCUGCUAUCAGAAUAAACAGUGGCA